CCUACGGGUGGCAGCAGUGAGGAAUAUUGGUCAAUGGGCGGAAGCCUGAACCAGCCAAGUCGCGUGAGGGAUUAAGGCCCUGCGGGUCGUAAACCUCUUUUGCCGGGGAGCAGUGGUCCGGACGAGUCCGGGCCGGGAGAGUACCCGGAGAAAAAGCAUCGGCUAACUCCGUGCCAGCAGCCACGGUAAUACGGAGGAUGCGAGCGUUAUCCGGAUUUAUUGGGUUUAAAGGGUGCGUAGGCGGGCAUUUAAGCCGGCGGUCAAAUGUCGGGGCUCAACCCCGGCCUGCCGUCGGAACUGGGUGCCUUGAGUGGGCGUGAAGUAUGCGGAAUGCGUGGUGUAGCGGUGAAAUGCAUAGAUAUCACGCAGAACCCCGAUUGCGAAGGCAGCAUACCGGCGCCCGACUGACGCUGAGGCACGAAAGUGCGGGUAUCGAACAGGAUUAGAUACCCCUGUAGUC
rnacentral:rRNA from 1 species